rnacentral:rRNA from 1 species
UCUAGUAGCUGGUUCCCUCCGAAGUUUCCCUCAGGAUAGCUGGUGCAUUAUAAUAUUAUGUUAAAUAAUCUUAUCUGGUAAAGCGAAUGAUUAGAGGCCUUAGGGUCGAAACGACUUUAACCUAUUCUCAAACUUUAAAUGGGUAAGAACCUCACCUUUCUUGAUAUGAAGGUUGAGGUUAUGAUAUAAUGUGCCCAGUGGGCCACUUUUGGUAAGCAGAACUGGCGCUGUGGGAUGAACCAAACGUAAUGUUACGGUGCCUAAAUUAACAACUCAUGCAGAUACCAUGAAAGGCGUUGGUUGCUUAAAACAGCAGGACGGUGGACAUGGAAGUCGUAAUCCGCUAAGGAGUGUGUAACAACUCACCUGCCGAAGCAACUAGCCCUUAAAAUGGAUGGCGCUUAAGUUGUAUACCUAUACAUUACCGCUAAAGUAGAUGAUUUAUAAUACAAUUUCGAUUGAAUUAUAAAUUUUGAAACUUUAGUGAGUAGGAGGGUACAAUGGUGUGCUUAGAAGUGUUUGGCGUAAGCCUGCAUGGAGCCGCUAUUGGUACAGAUCUUGGUGGUAGUAGCAAAUAAUCGAAUGAGACCUUGGAGGACUGAAGUGGAGAAGGGUUUCGUGUGAACAGUGGUUGAUCACGAGUUAGUCGGUCCUAAGUUCAAGGCGAAAGCCGAAAAUUUUCAAGUUUUAAUGC